rnacentral:rRNA from 1 species
CCAAGGAGUCUAGCAUGUGCGCGAGUCAUUGGGACUCUAACGAAACCUAAAGGCGCAAUGAAAGUGAAGGUUCGCCACGCGCGAACCGAGGGAGGAUGGACGGUCGAUCGUGGCCGCCCCGCACUCCCUGGGCGUCUCGUUCUCAUCGCGAGAAGAGGCGCACCAAGAGCGUACACGCUGGGACCCGAAAGAUGGUGAACUAUGCCUGGUCAGGACGAAGUCAGGGGAAACCCUGAUGGAGGUCCGUAGCGAUUCUGACGUGCAAAUCGAUCGUCGGAACUGGGUAUAGGGGCGAAAGACUAAUCGAACCAUCUAGUAGCUGGUUCCCUCCGAAGUUUCCCUCAGGAUAGCUGGCGCUCGCUUCUCGCGAGUCUCAUUCGGUAAAGCGAAUGAUUAGAGGCAUUGGGGUCGAAACGGCCUCAACCUAUUCUCAAACUUUAAAUGGGUGAGAUCUCCGGCUUGCUUGAACUGUGAAGCCGCGAGAUAUCGGAUCAGAGUGCCAAGUGGGCCACUUUU